rnacentral:rRNA from 1 species
UACAGGGGGGGCAAGCGUUGUUCGGAAUUACUGGGCGUAAAGGGCGUGUAGGUGGCCAACUAAGUCCGACGUGAAAUCCCCAGGCUUAACCUGGGAACUGCGUCGGAUACUGGAUGGCUUGAAUUCGGGAGAGGGAUGCAGAAUUCCAGGUGUAGCGGUGAAAUGCGUAGAUAUCAGGAGGAACACCUAUUGCGAAGGCAGCUCGCUGGGACGUAACUGACGCUGAGACGCGAAAGCGUGGGGAGCAAACAGG